rfam:Camelus ferus unplaced genomic scaffold scaffold526, whole genome shotgun sequence.
GCGGGUAGAGCUCAGUGGUAGAGUGCAUGUCUAGCAUGCAGGAGGUCCUGGGUUCAGUCCCCAGUACCUCCU